rnacentral:misc_RNA from 1 species
GAAAGGAUGCAAUCAAAAAAUACAAAUUAAUGAAGUUUGCAAAAUUGCAUUUUAAUCUAGGAUCAGAACAAGAUUCAAAAAUCAAAUCAAAGUUUUGACUAGUGAAGUGGUAGAUUUGUGAACUCCAUACAAUAACUUCCCGAAAGUAGAGAUAUAAUUUUAAAAAUCCAAAAACAAAUAUGCAAAAUAUAAUCUUGAAAAGAAGCAUUCACAUAAAAAAGUCUCAUUUGUAU